rnacentral:lncRNA from 1 species
GUAUCUUAACGUAUAAGACAAGUUUUUUAUAUAUAAGCCACAUAAUUAGCUUAUUCCAUAAGCUAUCAAGAUGUGAUUAACUUAUUGAUCAAAUUUCUAACCUACUAAUCAAUUACAAAUAUAUGUAAAGAAUCUUAUAACUUUAAAGUUCUAAUUACAAGAAAACGUAUAAAACUUUUUAAGCAACGGUGUCGUAAUACGUGAAGUCUUGCUUGAGAAUGCUUCGAGCACUUAGCUGUGGAAGGUAGAAUGGAAAUUGCAACAACAAAAUCCUAACUCUAAUAGAAUACUAACAAUGCUAAAUAAGCUUUAAUCAAAUUCAAAGAAAUCUCAAAGAAAUUUCAAAGAAAGAAUAAGAAAUCUUAAAGAAAUAUUAGAAUGAUCACAAAUAUAUCUCAAAUACAUCUCAAUUCAAUCUUAAUUUAAUCCUAGUUAAAAUCGUAUUGGACUUCAUUCAAACUUUAGGCCAAAACUAACUAAAUCUUAAAUCCUAACAAACUCUAAUAAAAUCCUAAAUCCUAAACCAAAUCCUAAACAAAUCCUAAACUCUAAAUCAAAUCCUAACCAAACUCUAAAUCCUAAAUCGAAUCUUAACCAAAUCCUAGUAAUUCCCACAAUAGAUUCAAACCUCAAUAACUAAUGAAUAAACCGUUGAUCUUAAUUAAAAAUUUGUAUACUUUUUAAAAACUAAGUUGAAAAGAAGCACAAAAUUUUCUAAAAGGAUCGAAAUUACCAAUUAAAUGA